CAUAAUUUUAAGAGAUUUGAAAUAGAAAAACUUUCAAAAUACUGAAAAUGUAACGGUAGUAACCAAAAAUCUGUAGUACCUAAAUUUCAAGUACAAAUUAAGUACUGUAAAAUACAGGUACCUAAAUAUUACAAUCAUUUUAAAGUAACAAAAUAGUACUGAAUAUUAAAAGUAAAUUUCCAGUACUACAUAUUUUUAGUACAGAAAUAGUACCUAUGCAAAAGCAGCUGUGUA
rnacentral:lncRNA from 1 species